GGCUCUAGGCGGGGCCCUGCAGUGGCGGCGGGGCUCCUCCUCCUGCCGCUCCUCCCCAGCUUCCGCUUCCGACGCUCUAGCGCUAACUGUACUCUUGUGGGCCCCUCCGCCCUCUCCCAGCCAUGGUGGCCUGGCGCUCGGCGUUUGUCAUCUGCCUCACUUUCUCCUUGGCCACUCUGGUCCAGAGAGGAUCCGGGGACUUUGGCGAUGGUUUCAGUCUGGAGGAUGCAGUGAAAGAAACUUCCUCAGUAAAGCAGAGAUGGGACCAUAUCACCACCACAACCAAGAGACCAGGAACAACCAGAGCUCCGGCAAAGCCUGCAGAAAAUGAUUUUGACUUGGCUGAUGCUGUGGAUGAUCGAAAUGAUCGAGAUGAUGGCCGCAGGAAACCAAGUGCGGGAGGAGGAGGUUUUUCAGACAAGGAUCUUGAAGACGUCUUAGGGGGUGGUGGAUACAAACCUGACAAGGGCAAAGGUGACGGCGCGUAUGGCAGCAAUGACGACUCUGAAUCUGGAAUGUCUGCAGAGACUGGCACCAUCGCCGGAGUGGCCAGUGCUCUGGCCAUGGCCCUCAUUGGCGCUGUCUCCAGCUACAUCUCCUACCAGCAGAAGAAGUUCUGCUUCAGCAUUCAGCAGGGUCUCAAUGCAGACUACGUGAAGGGGGAGAACCUGGAAGCCGUUGUGUGCGAGGAACCCCAAGUGAAAUAUUUCGCGCUGCAAACGCAGUCUGCCGAGCCGCCGCCACCCCAGCCGCCCCGGAUCUGAGGGCUCUGCCCAGCUUGUGACCCAGCUCCUGAUUUCAUUUGGACCCACAGCUGCUGCACUGCUCGUUCCAUGUCGCUGGCUUCUCCUUCUGUUUUCCGGAUGAGCUCUGGGCACGUGCAAGUCUGGUUUCUGUGCCCACCCUGCUGCAGGUGCUCUGAAGACACAGCCGCUGGGUCACCGACUCCCCAAAGCCAGCCUGCCCCCAGGCCAUAGUGAGCUGGGGAGGCCAAGAGGACAGUUGUGGUCAGGGGAUAGGAGUUUGAAUCCAGGGCCGUGGAAUCUGCUCCAUGCUGCGCUGACAGGCUAUGGCGGGUUUCUUCCAGUAGGCAGCCCCUGGCAGUGACCUCGAAGAGCUAUAACUGGGGGCCCAGCCAGCACCUAGCUCUCUUGGAGCCCCUGCAGGGAGCAAACCAGUGAGCAGCAGGUAACCCCACACAUACACACCCCAGGGGGUGUUUUUAUUUUGGUCCUUCUUUCCAGUUCCA